UACAGAGGUCUCAAGCGUUGUCCGGAAUCACUGGGCGUAAAGGGCGCGUAGGCGGCCCGUUAAGUCAGUGGUGAAAUCCCAGGGCUCAACCCUGGAACUGCCAUUGAUACUGACGGGCUUGAGUUCGGUUAAGGCGGGCGGAACUGGUGGUGUAGCGGUGAAAUGCAUAGAUACCACCAAGAACCCCGAUUGCGUAGGCAGCUCGCUGAGCCGAAACUGACGCUGAGGCACGAAAGCGUGGGGAGCGAACAGG
rnacentral:rRNA from 1 species